AUGGGCGCGGCCUUUGUGCGGGAAGGGCGAGGUCGCGGACGCAGUCAUCUUCGCGUUCGCUGUGCUACGAGCCGCCUCCACAAGCAGCAGCCGCGCCGCGGACGCGGACAGCCUUUGCCAUGGCCGAAGGGACGUGCUCGGAGGAGCAGCGCCUGGGGUGUCGCCUGGCGCCAUAGGGAGUCGGGGCUGAUGGCGCCGCCGAGCGUCGAAGGACGCUGUGCAUGUCGGCCGUGGGCCGUCGUCCCCACCACCGUUCACGGAACGAAGCUCCGACCGGUGCUGGUUGCUUUCCUUCUUCUCCCUGUUUUCUCUUGGCCUGAUGCUCUCGAUAGAGACAAAGUGCUGAUAACGUGA
rnacentral:rRNA from 1 species